UACGGGGGGAGCAAGCGUUGUUCGGAUUUACUGGGCGUAAAGGGCGCGUAGGCGGUCGUGACAAGUCACUUGUGAAAUCUCCGGGCUUAACUCGGAACGGUCAAGUGAUACUGUCGGACUAGAGUACAGAAGGGGCAACUGGAAUUCUCGGUGUAGCGGUGAAAUGCGUAGAUAUCGAGAGGAACACCGGUGGCGAAGGCGGCCUUCUGGACAGUGACUGACGCUGAGACGCGAAAGCGUGGGGAGCAAACAGG
rnacentral:rRNA from 1 species